AUGUGUUUGUUCAAAAUAUGUGAUUUUGUAUGCCGUUUUAGAGUUGCCUUAGGCGGCGCCCAGUUAACGUUGGUCCGUCAUUGUUAUCACUCCGGUAAGCGGUGGUUCUUUGUGUAUCAAUUUAAGCCAUGAUUUAAAUGAAAUUUGUUCACAAUAUGCACAUCUUUACAACGGUGUAGGUGGCGGCAAGUUAGUCAUUUCAGUUUUAAUGCUUUGUCUUCGAGUUGCAUGAGAAGAGUCAGACGAGCGUGAGGUUUUUUUUCCUCGCGGUGCAAUAGCUCUGGCAGGUGGCUCCAAACUGGUCAGUUCAACCUGCUUUGUCUUCGAGAAGUCUUUAAGUCAUUCGGUGGCUUUUUUCCCGACAGUAUCAUGACUUAGGUUGAUGCAGUGCAAGAUAUGCAGAUUUGAACACCCUGCCCAGGAGGUCCUUUUGAAACAUGACCAAUUGUGCCACUACCAGGGAAGAUACUGCCAACUACCCUGCCUCUACACAGAUUGCAUCUGCUCCUUUAAAACCACUGGUUGAAGUCUCACCUUAUCUUCACGUGAGAGUCACUUAACAUUGAAUGGUGAAUUGUGUGACUUUAAGGAAAUUUGUAAAACACCCUAUUACUCCAAACAUAUAUGGAGUCAUUUAAAAAAAAUCAUGAAACUUCAUGAUCACAGAAGUCAAAAACAUUGCAGCUUUUCCAUUACAGACUUUAAAGCAAAUUUCAUUAUUCAAAAUGCAGAACCAAAAGACAGCGAGCCACAAACUGUUGUUAUGCACACACUUUUAUCACCAUUGCAGUUAAUUUUAUAUUGCUUGUGAUAGAUAUGAAGGGCAGAUAUGAAAGCCAAUACAUUUUUGACUGGACCCGUUGUUAUUUUUGCACAUUAUUUUUGACUUGAAUUUUGUGAUAGUUAAUUUAAUUGGAAAAGCAUCAAAUAAAAACUGUGUAGAAGUUUUUAAUUUUGCAACACAAAUGUGACAAAUAAGCUCUUAACUUGAAAAAAAAAGUUCUAUUGUAAUUAAUUUUAUUGCGAAUGAAAUUACUUGAUUUGGUUUGU